GGCUUAACACAUGCAAGUCGAGCGGUCCCUUCGGGGAUAGCGGCGGACGGGUGAGUAACGCGUGGGAACGUGCCCUUCACUACGGAAUAGCCCAUGGAAACGUGGAUUAAUACCGUAUACGCCCUUCGGGGGAAAGAAUUUCGGUGAGGGAUCGGCCCGCGUCUGAUUAGGUAGUUGGUGGGGUAAUGGCCUACCAAGCCGACGAUCAGUAGCUGGUUUUAGAGGAUGAUCAGCCACACUGGGACUGAGACACGGCCCAGACUCCUACGGGAGGCAGCAGUGGGGAAUCUUAGACAAUGGGGGCAACCCUGAUCUAGCCAUGCCGCGUGAGUGAUGAAGGUCUUAGGAUCGUAAAGCUCUUUCGCCUGUGAUGAUAAUGACAGUAGCAGGUAAAGAAACCCCGGCUAACUCCGUGCCAGCAGCCGCGGUAAUACGGAGGGGGUUAGCGUUGUUCGGAAUUACUGGGCGUAAAGCGCGCGUAGGCGGACUGGAAAGUUGGGGGUGAAAUCCCGGGGCUCAACCCCGGAACUGCCUUCAAAACUAUCAGUCUAGAGUUCGAGAGAGGUGAGUGGAAUUGCGAGUGUAGUGGUGAAAUUCGUAGAUAUUCGCAGGAACACCAGUGGCGAAGGCGGCUCACUGGCUUCGAUACUGACGCUGAGGUGCGAAAGUGUGGGGAGCAAACAGGAUU
rnacentral:rRNA from 1 species